CUAUCUGUCUCUCCUGGUCUCUCUUAGAUUUGGUCUGGCCUUGUCCCAAGGUAAUUGAAAUGUCCAUGAACUGUGCUGCUGAAGUGGUGGAGGAAACUGUGAGUCCGAAAAGCCUUCUAAUGCAGACACUGGUGUCAGAGUCAAUGUGAUCAUGUCGGACGCUACAGAGUCCCUUUCCUCAUUGUUCCGUUGCCCUGUAUUAUCUAAAUUAAAUUAAAGAAAAAACCCACAAAAGUACAGCCCUUCCACAGACAACUAAGGAAGCGUGGUGAAAGCAAGGGUGGUGUGUGGAGGGUAACACAUGAUGUGGACGAUUACCUCUGUGCUCAACACCUUGACUUUGUGUGCCAACACCUUGACAGAAGGUGGGGCCAGGGAUCGUCAUUUGGGAGUACCUGGAGGAACAUCUGACCCCACUCCAAAAAAGGACCACAUAAGUAAAAAAUGGCUCAUCUUACCCCACUCUUCCAUACUAAAUGACUGCGAAAAACUACCACACACCACCUCAAGCAACAGCUCUCGGUAACAUACUCAUCAUGAAGAUGAACGCCCACAAGAGUAUGUGUCGUGAAGAUAAAAGUCCUUGGAGUAGGCUACGUUAAAUUUGUAGGUCUCUUCAAAACACAUGUAAUAAUCCCCUAAUUUGUUUUAUACAAAUGUUAUUUGCAAGGUACACAUAGGUUUGUGUAAAUAAAUAUCUGUAAGAACAUUGGAGCGAGUGCUCAUUUCUCAUUUGGUAGCCUGAAU